UUGUGUGUUGUGUUUGCGUGCGCUUCUGGUGUAUUGAACUCGCUGGAUUGGAGCAGACGGAUUUCAGAAAAUCGAAGCAGCUAACCCUUAUCAUUUUUGCGUGCAGUGAUCCUCUCUUUCUCCCAGCUAAUUACCUGCUUGUUUUUGUUGAAGUGGAGCUGCUGCUGUAGUUUCUUCAUGUGCAGCAGAGCAGCAGAAAACAAAAACAGAGCAUCUCGCAUUCUCGCAUUCACGACUUAUCCGAGGGCUUUUGCACUUUUAUUUCUUUCUUAGUUAUUAGCAACUUCUUCAUUGUACAUAUUGCUUUUCUCUUUUAGCGUUUCUCAUUAGUCAUUAGCGUUUUUCUACCAGAAUAGCUGAGGUGGCUGAAGUUUUGUUUUUUCUUCACCUGCAUUGUACCUCUGUGUAUUUUAAAUGGGUAUCCACACCCACUUUCAAUUCAAUAAAAUUCUUCCUCUCAGAUUUUAUACCUGCUUGCAAAGAUCCUCUCCAUGAAUGGAGAUUUUUUGAAGCUUCUCAGCAGUUUUCCCUUGUUCUUUCCGAUGGUUUAAAUUUCAUUUUUCCUUUUAAUUUCUGAGUCUUCACCAAUGAAACAGAUUUUCUUAGAAAUUUCUAAGUUCUAUGAUUCUUUCUCCAUCUUAAAACUUUGAUUUUUUUCCCCUUUAGGGUGUCGAAAGUUCGAACUUUCUUGUGCACUGGAUGCCCUUUUACUCUUUAACAGCUUUUUACCUCUUCUUUCCCUUUUCCUUUUUGCUCAUUAUUGAUUGGAUCUUCAGCAAGCUGAUGCAUUGAUCCGUAUUUAGGACUUUCUACGCUUUUCUGUUUGCUAUCGUUUGAAGUUGGUAAUUUUUCCUUUUCUGAAAAAUCCUUCUUCUCUCAUUUUCUUUUUCUGUGAAUGAACUGUCAGCCUAUGUCCUUUAUUUCAGUGAAUUAUUUUGAUAUAAAAAGCCAUGAAGAUAAUUUUUAGUUUUGAGGAUUUGAAAUCGGCAUAUAGCUUUGGGCCUCACGGACAAAUUGACGUUCACUUACACAUUGUUAGUAAUCAUUAUUAAUCAUGUUAAUUUGGCGAAUAGUGUGGAUCGCUCACGCAAGAAUGAUGCGAGUUAAUGCUUGGUGUUCGAACUAGUUGCAGUAAAGAGCCAAUUCAGUGUAAACGACAGUUUUGAGAAGAAUUAAACUACACAUGAUGAGCUUGAUAGGCGUAAUGUCGUAUGGAGUUUGCAGAUACAACCGGCCAACGGCCAACCUCUGUUGGAUGAAUUGCUUUAUUUGUGGUUGUGGCAGACUUCUCUCAUAAGUUUGAAGA